rnacentral:lncRNA from 1 species
CGACCAACACUCUGAUAUACAUACAGUAACGUAAAUAUAUAUACACGCAGUCGGGGGAGCGUUUUAUAAUUCAUCAGAAUCACAGCUGCUCGUCGGAAUGGAGUCGCUUCUCGUCGGAACGGAGUCGCCGCCCGCCGGAUAUUGUCCUUCCCGCACCGCAUCUCCCGUAUCCCCAAGUAUCGGUCACCGAGAUUCGCCGCCACGCCACCUGGCAGCGGGGUGCGCGCACCGC